AGUAUUAGUUUAAGCUAGCUCAUGUUCCGGCAGUCGAGACUGAGAGGUCGAUCGACCACAUUGGGUCUGAAAAAAGCCCACGGCAGAUAGUACAGCAGUGGGGUAUAUUGGUCAAUAGCCUAGCGGCUGAACCAGCAACUUGGAAGAAUGUAUAAUGAAUAAGUCGUAUAAAGUUCUAGAUAGAAGAAUGAUUAUGACAAUUUUCUAUCUAUAAGUCUUGACCAAAUUACGUGCCAGCAGUCGCGGUAACACGUAGAAGACUAGUGUUAUUCAUCUUUAUUAGGUUUAAAGGGUACCUAGACGGAAAAUCAAGCCAUAAUAGGAACUAAUUUUCUAGAGUUUUAUGAAAGAAGGUGCGAAUUUCCGGAGGAAAGUUGAUAUUUUAUGAUACUGGAAGGACGGGUAACGGCGAAGGCAACCUUCUAUGUAAAAACUGACGUUGAGGGACGAAGCCUUGGGUAACGAAAAGGAUUAGAUACCCUAGUAGUCCUUGGAGAAAAUUAUGAAUGUCAUAGGUUAGAGGGAAAGUGAGUUAAUAGCAGCUUAGUUGUUGUGGUUAUGUAACCGUGCGUACAUUUCAACGGUUCAGAAUACAGAUAACUGAACCUUCAGCAACAAUUAAGACUUGUAUAGCUAUGCUAAACUGUAUUAGAAUUUGGUCUACACAAAUUGCUACUAAUCCGCCUAGGAUCAUAAACUGUAUUAGAAUUUAGUCUACACAAGACGCUACUAAUCAAUCUAUGAUCCUAUAUUGUAUUAAUAUAUACAAAUGGUAAUCCAUGUAUCCAUGGACAACAAGUAUAGUUG
rnacentral:rRNA from 1 species